AUACUUACCUGGCAGGGGAGAUACCAUGAUCAAGUAGGUGGUUUUCCCAGGGCGAGGCCCACCCAUUGCACUUGGGGUGUGCUGACCCCUGCGAUUUCCCCAAAUGCGGGAAACUCGACUGCAUAAUUUGUGGUAGUGGGGGACUGCGUUCGCGCUCUCCCCUG
ensembl:snRNA U1 U1 spliceosomal RNA